rnacentral:rRNA from 1 species
UGGGGAAUUUUGGACAAUGGGGGAAACCCUGAUCCAGCCAUCCCGCGUGUGCGAUGAAGGCCUUCGGGUUGUAAAGCACUUUUGGCAGGAAAGAAACGUCAUGGGUUAAUACCCCGUGAAACUGACGGUACCUGCAGAAUAAGCACCGGCUAACUACGUGCCAGCAGCCGCGGUAAUACGUAGGGUGCAAGCGUUAAUCGGAAUUACUGGGCGUAAAGCGUGCGCAGGCGGUUCGGAAAGAAAGAUGUGAAAUCCCAGAGCUCAACUUUGGAACUGCAUUUUUAACUACCGAGCUAGAGUGUGUCAGAGGGAGGUGGAAUUCCGCAUGUAGCAGUGAAAUGCGUAGAUAUGCGGAGGAACACCGAUGGCGAAGGCAGCCUCCUGGGAUAACACUGACGCUCAUGCACGAAAGCGUGGGGAGCAAACAGG